rnacentral:tRNA from 1 species
GACAUUGUGGCUGAGGUGGAGGCACCAGAUUGUAAAUCUGUCAACGAAAUAUUUCCAAUGUCA